CGGAAUUGCUAGUAAUCGCGGAUCAGCAUGCCGCGGUGAAUACGUUCCCGGGCCUUGUACACACCGCCCGUCACACCAUGGGAGUCGGUAACACCCGAAGCCGAUAGUCUAACGAAAGAGGACGUCGUCGAAGGUGGGAUUGAUGACUGGGGUGAAGUCGUAACAAGGUAAC
rnacentral:rRNA from 1 species